rnacentral:rRNA from 1 species
GGGCACGCGGUGAAUGCCUAGGCGAUGGGAGGCGAUGAAGGACGUGGACAGCUGCGAUAAGCUGCGGGGAGCCGCUCACAGGCCGUGAUCCGCAGAUUUCCGAAUAGGGCAACCUACCCGACGCGAGAGCGACGGGAACACUCUGGCUGAAUACAUAGGCUAGAGCGAGCCAACCCGGGGAAGUGAAACAUCUCAGUACCCGGAGGAAAAGAAAACAACAGUGAUUCUCCUAGUAGCGGCGAGCGAACGGGGACGAAGGCCAAACCCGAAGUAGUGAUACUACGGGGGUUGUAGGGUCGGCGAUGUGGCAUUCUGAUCGAGAGUCGAACCGCUUGGAACGGCGGGCCAUAGAGGGUGACAGCCCCGUAGUCGAAUCGAGAGGGAGCCUAGCUGAUACCUGAGUACCGCAGGACACG